rnacentral:rRNA from 1 species
UACGAAGGGGGCUAGCGUUGCUCGGAAUCACUGGGCGUAAAGGGUGCGUAGGCGGGUCUUAAGUCAGGGGUGAAAUCCUGGAGCUCAACUCCAGAACUGCCUUUGAUACUGAGGAUCUUGAGCUCGGGAGAGGUGAGUGGAACUGCGAGUGUAGAGGUGAAAUUCGUAGAUAUUCGCAAGAACACCAGUGGCGAAGGCGGCUCACUGGCCCGAUACUGACGCUGAGGCACGAAAGCGUGGGGAGCAAACAGGG